rnacentral:rRNA from 1 species
UGGGCAACCUGCCCUCAGCUCUGGGAUAACUCCAAGAAAUUGGGGCUAAUACCGGAUAUGACUGCUGACCGCAUGGUCUGGUGGUGGAAAGAUUUAUCGGCUGGGGAUGGGCCCGCGGCCUAUCAGCUUGUUGGUGAGGUAA